UGCAGUUACCGAUUUUGAAUAGAAUUAAUUGAUUAAAAAGAAUUAAAUGAUCCACGAAUCUACUUAAAUAUACAGUUUCCAGAGUCUUUAACAUUCAGAGCCCCAAUGGCGGAUUCUGAAGAUAUGGAGAACUCUGAAGAAGAAGUCUCUGCAGAUGAAGACCAUGACAUAUCUUACCAGAAAUGGAAAUUGCUUUCUCCGGAGUUUACAAAAAUAAGAAAGAUGCAGAAAAGGGCAAGAGAAGAUUUCUGGAAAAUGUUGUUGGCCCAGCAGUCUGUUACUUCCAAAUUACCAAUUAGCAACGCUUUCAAGACAACUUGAAUAGCGUUCAAAAAUUCUGAAGAAACAAGAUGACCAAUAUCAGAAAGGGUCACACAAGCGCUUUCUUGAAAGUAGGAAGAACUUGAGAAGAUCACUGAGCUACAAUAAACGAACAAAAAGCUGAGGAGCUCAGAGGAAGAUCAGAAGAGGGAAAAGGAUAGACUUAAUCAAAGAAUUGUUCGACUCGAAGAGGAACUGUUAGAAAAGGAUGAGGAAUUGAAUAACAUGGAAGAAAAAAUUGAGCAUUUAGAAGAGAUGAACCGAGUUCUCAUCGCCAAAGAGCGGAAAAGUAAUUAUGAAUUGCAGGAAGCUCGGAAGGAGCUGAUCAAUGGUUUGAAAGAACUGCCCAGCAGCGCUUCCAGUUCUUUUAUUGGCAUUAAAAACAUGGGAGAUCUUGACUAUAAACCAUUCUACACUGCAAUCAAGAAGAAAUAUCCCAGUCAAGAAGCAUCUUAGAAAGCUCUGGAGCUGUGUUCUCUUUGGGAGCAUUUCCUCAAAGAUCGAAACAGUUGACGGAAGCAGCAAGGAAGUAAUUGAUGAAAAGAAUGAGACAUUGAGAACUCUGAAGAGUGACUAUGGAGAGGAGGUUUACAUAGCUGUAACAACUGCUUUGACUGAGAUGAAUGAAUACAAUCCCAGUGGUAGGUCCAUAACACGAGUUAUGGAAUCACUUCGAAGGAAGAAAGGCGACACUGAAAGAACUGUGUCAUAUAUAUAUACUAAUGCAGCGGAGAAUGGACAAUCAGGGAAAUGGAUAUUGCACUUGGGGUAAUGAAUCUAAUUCAUCAGCAAACGAAUCUGCUGACAAAUCAGCCGGUGAGUCUGAUCUCCGAGCAAUCCGUUCCUAUAUUCCAAGAAAGGCUUGAGAUGGGUAGCUUAUGUUUUGCAAGAUUGGAGGACAUUGAAAUGAAAUAUACCUAUCUGGGAUGAACCAUGAAAACUCAAAAGUACUUUUUUGUUGAAUGUGUAAUUAGUAGAAGCCAUAUGCAGCUACUUUUGAUUGUAUAUAUGCUUAUGACUAGC